rnacentral:pre_miRNA from 1 species
GUCAUCUAUGUAUACCCUGUAGAUCCGAAUUUGUGUGAAAAAACAUACAGUCGCAAAUUCGUAUCUAGGGGAGUAUAUAGUUGA